rnacentral:rRNA from 1 species
AUUGAACGCUGGCGGCAGGCCUAACACAUGCAAGUCGAACGGUAGCACAGAGAGCUUGCUCUCGGGUGGCGAGUGGCGGACGGGUGAGUAAUGUCUGGGAAACUGUCUGAUGGAGGGGGAUAACUACUGGAAACGGUAGCUAAUACCGCAUAACGUCGCGAGACCAAAGAGGGGGACCUUCGGGCCUCUUGCCAUCAGAUGUGCCCAGAUGGGAUUAGCUAGUAGGUGGGGUAACGGCUCACCUAGGCGACGAUCCCUAGCUGGUCUGAGAGGAUGACCAGCCACACUGGACCUGGGACACGGUCCAGACUCCUACGGGAGGCAGCAGUGGGGAAUAUUGCACAAUGGGCGCAAGCCUGAUGCAGCCAUGCCGCGUGUAUGAAGAAGGCCUUCGGGUUGUAAAGUACUUUCAGCGGGGAGGAAGGUGUUGUGGUUAAUAACCGCAGCAAUUGACGUUACCCGCAGAAGAAGCACCGGCUAACUCCGUGCCAGCCGCCGCCGUAA